AUCAUUUUAGUAUGUUGAAGCAUGAAAAAAUGAAUUUUCCUUCAACAACAUAUUUUUUGCUAAUUGAGAUUUGAGUGAGAAUUCUAUCAUCCCAUUAACACAAAAGUUAGCCACCCCAUAAUCCCAUCACAACUUUCUAUAAAACUAAAUGUUAAUAAUCAAAUGCAAUGGUAAACUAAAGUUGUUAUCCUCAAUACUCUUAUCUUAUUUUUGCCUAAUAUGCAGAGAACUUCCAAUUUCUUCAACUGGGCCUACAACUUGAUGUAUCUCUUAAUUUCCCCAAAGGCUACAUCAAAAAGAGUGAAUUGACAAAAACUUUUAGCAUUUUUCCUCCUUGAUCAACAAAAUGAUGUAGAAAUGCAAGAGCCAUUCAUGAUGAAAAGACAAUUUAAAAGGUGAACAGUAGUCAGUGUCAGCUUUCCAACCUUCAUGCUUAACAAGGACGCCAUUACUUGCUUAGCUCUUUCAUGCACUUUACAGUUAAUCCUUUUGAAUUUGUUGUGUUAGAAACGCAAAUUUAAACGCCACGACCACACUAAAACAUAGCCCAAAAUUGACCUGCACCCCAGAAAAUAAAAGCUAGUUAGCUGUCAAGAACAAAUAAAGAAAAAGAGAGAGAGAAUCAAAAGUUGGACCACAAUAUAUAG
rnacentral:lncRNA from 1 species